UUAUGGCCAUAUCACGUUGAAACACUGGUUCCCGUACGAUCACCGAAGUUAAGCAACGUCGAGCCUGGAGUUUAACUAGAUGGGUGACCGUUUGAGAAUACCAGGUGUUGUAAG
rnacentral:rRNA from 1 species